rnacentral:rRNA from 1 species
GCAUAUCAAUAAGCGGAGGAAAAGAAACCAACCGGGAUUGCCUCAGUAACGGCGAGUGAAGCGGCAACAGCCCAAAUUUGAAAUCUGGCUCCUCUCGGGGCUCGAGUUGUAAUUUGGAGAGGAUGCCUCGGCGAGGCCGCCAGUCGAAGUCCCCUGGAACGGGGCGUCACAGAGGGUGAGAAUCCCGUCCGUGGCCGGUGGCCCCCGCCGUGCGAGGCUCCCUCGACGAGUCGAGUUGUUUGGGAAUGCAGCUCUAAGCGGGAGGUAAAUUCCUUCUAAGGCUAAACAUCCGCCAGAGACCGAUAGCGCACAAGUAGAGUGAUCGAAAGGUGAAAAGCACUUUGAAAAGAGGGUGACACAGCACGUGAAAUUGUUGAAAGGGAAGCGCUUGCAGCCAGAGCGGGCCUCGGGGGCUCCGUUCGUCUUCGGACGGGCGCCCUCCCCCGAGGUCCGGCCAGCAUCAGCUCGGCCGGCCGGACAAAGGCCGCGGGAAUGUGGCACCUCCGGGUGUGUUAUAGCCCGCGGCACAAUGCGGCCUGGCCGGGCUGAGGACAGCGCCGUUGGCACGGAUGCUGGCGUAAUGGCUGUCAGCGGCCCGUCUUGAAACACGGACC